AUUGAACGCUGGCGGCAGGCUUAACACAUGCAAGUCGAGCGGAGACUUCGGUCUUAGCGGCGAACGGGUGAGUAAUACCUAGGAAUCUGCCUAUUAGUGGGGGAUAACGAAUCGAAAGGUUCGCUAAUACCGCAUACGUCCUACGGGAGAAAGGGGGGAUCUUCGGACCUCUCGCUAAUAGAUGAGCCUAGGCCGGAUUAGCUAGUUGGUAGGGUAAAGGCCUACCAAGGCGACGAUCUGUAGCUGGUCUGAGAGGAUGGCCAGCCACACUGGAACUGAGACACGGUCCAGACUCCUACGGGAGGCAGCAGUGGGGAAUAUUGGACAAUGGGGGCAACCCUGAUCCAGCCAUGCCGCGUGUGUGAAGAAGGCCUUCGGGUUGUAAAGCACUUUAAGCGAGGAGGAAGGUUUUUAGUUUAAUACACUAAAGAAUUGACGUUACUCGCAGAAUAAGCACCGGCUAACUCUGUG
rnacentral:rRNA from 1 species